rnacentral:pre_miRNA from 1 species
ACUUAAUGCACGCAAAGCGCUUAAAAUAUAGUGCGUGUCAGCUACGCUGAGCACUAUAUUUUAAGCGCUUUGCGUGCAUUAAGU